UCCUCCACUAUCAAAACUGGAAAGUCGCCAUAUGACCUAUAAUAAUGUCGGUGCAACGUUAAACUCAAACAUGAAAAAAAUACAGGCAAGCAAGACAUUCAAAAUAACAAAAUAAAUAUUUCACGCGUUACUUAAAUAUACGUUUUCAGGCUGAUCAUUUUACCAUAUGCAUUGUUUUCAAAAUUGCUAAAUUGCACAUUUGAAUUUAACCUAGAUUGACAGUUAGAUAGCUUAUCAUGAAAAUCUGUAUUAUUUGUGACUGAAAUAUAAUAAUGUGCAUACAUUUGUAUUUCUUUGUUGAGGUUAAAUUGUAUAAACUCGAUGUGAUUUGGACAAGUGGGUGGAAUCCUUGUUGAGUUCAUAUUUGAUAAUACUUUCUUCCUAUAUUUUCUGUAUGUAUACAUAUGAAGAAGAAUGGACGGAGAAAUUCAGGGUAGAACAAAAGACCAACAGCGUUCGAGUUCAGUGUCGAUUUCAUCGGACUUCGAAGUCGAUCAUCCACCUGAUAACCAACAGGAAGAUGACAUAAAAGACAUAACAGAAAACGAAGAUAGCUCUACUGACACAAUUCCUACGUGUAACGACACCAAAUCGGAGUAUGUUAAUGCGUUAACCAAUCAAUUGAGUAUUCUUAGAUUAUAUAGAUUAAUUCGGGCGAUUUUUACACAAGACAUGUGAAGUUACUGCGGAUGUCGUAAAAUUAAAUAAUACAAAUACGAACGUACUAUAAUAACCGCGUGUUAACUUAUUAAUUCUAUUUCGAAAUAAAUUGCACACAACUUUUGUUUUUUAAGAGCAGUUAUUUCACAAUGAGAAAAGGUGAAUGCUUAUUAAAUUAGUAUUUUUGCAAAAGCGAUACAAUAUACAUGUAUCACCUUAAAGUUAUUGCAUGUCGAUAUGGAAUUGAGGCCGUAAAAAUUGUUUGGCUUUGAUUACCAUAAAUAAAUCUAGUAUUCAACUUUACAUCCGCGGUGGGACAUAUAUGAAAAAAGAUAUGUGUAUAUAUUUUAUAAUGUCUACGUUAUUGAAAAACCAAAGGUGUUUGAUAUGUUGUCAAUAACAAUACAAGAACCGUGAAUUUGCCAUAUGUCUGCCUUCAUGUUGUCAUUCCAAUUUUUAGUGUCUCGUACGUUGAUUGACUUUAUUUGCUAAGCCUUUGCUCCUUGGACACAGCUCAAGAUUAUGAGCUGUCGGGAUGUCCUUAAAAUUUAAGUGACCCUUCACCGGUUCCGUGAAGCAAUUUUAGUUCUAAAUAGGAUAAUAAUGCAAUUGAUUUUCAUACACUGUAUUUAUAUGAAUUCCCUAUACAUCUUAAUGGGUUGCUUUGACGCCAUUUAUCCAUUAUUUAACCUUUGUUUUCCAUAACCUCUUUACGUUCACGUCUGGCUAACCAGUAAACCUCAAAUGCGCUAAUAGUUUUUAUGUAUAUUCUACACUUUAAGGCAGCAUUUCAUUGA
rnacentral:lncRNA from 1 species